GCCGGGUGCAGUGGUGUAUGCCUGUAAUCCCAGCGGCUGGGGAGGCUUAGGCAGGAGAAUUGCAAGUUCAAAGCCAGCCUCAGCAAAAGUGAGGCACUAAGCAACUCAGUGAGACCCUGUCUCUC
rnacentral:sRNA from 1 species